CGUCGAGAACUGCCGAAGUCGAAGCCAUAGUUCGUUGUACCGUUCCACGAAGCGAACUUAGCAUUGGUUUAAACAAUAUUUAUUUGCCAAAACAACAUACUGGGAUUAGUCAACAGGCUUAGCCUAUAUUAAGACCUCUCCCUACACUUUACAUGUUUAGAUACCACAGACUAUAGUAGAUUUAAAGGAGGAAGAAAAGAAGAGGGGAUAGAGUGAAAGGUGGGACAGUGGAGAAUGAAAUGAUUUGUAUCUUCUACUGGAUAGCCACAAGAACAAGACGGAUCAUCUGAGAUAUAACGAAAGAAUUUAUGACUAUUAAGAUCACUGAUGUCUAGUCGAAGUUUACAGUGGAGUACAUGUGUAUCUGCUCAAGUCUAGAACCCAGAUAAAAAUAUUUAGGAACAGCUUUGUCCGAUUCCUUUAAUUGAUGUUUAAAAGAUGCCAAUGAUUUAGCUUUCCGGACUUCAACAUUUAAUGCAUUCCACAACCUUAUUCCAGAAG